rnacentral:rRNA from 1 species
AACGAACGCUGGCGGCAUGCCUAACACAUGCAAGUCGAACGAAGCCUUCGGGCUUAGUGGCGCACGGGUGCGUAACGCGUGGGAAUCUGCCCUUGGGUUCGGAAUAACAGUUAGAAAUGACUGCUAAUACCGAAUGAUGUCUUCGGACCAAAAGAUUUAUCGCCCAAGGAUGAGCCCGCGUCGGAUUAGCUAGUUGGUGAGGUAAAGGCUCACCAAGGCGACGAUCCGUAGCUGGUCUGAGAGGAUGAUCAGCCACACUGGGACUGAGACACGGCCCAGACUCCUACGGGAGGCAGCAGUGGGGAAUAUUGGACAAUGGGCGAAAGCCUGAUCCAGCAAUGCCGCGUGAGUGAUGAAGGCCUUAGGGUUGUAAAGCUCUUUUACCCGGGAUGAUAAUGACAGUACCGGGAGAAUAAGCCCCGGCUAACUCCGUGCCAGCAGCCGCGGUAAU